rnacentral:rRNA from 1 species
CGAGAAUUUUUCACAAUGGACGAAAGUCUGAUGGAGCGACGCCGCGUGGAGGAUGAAGGUUUUCGGAUUGUAAACUCCUGUCACUGCAGAACAAGGGUGUGCCAGUUAACAGCCGGCGCAUUUGAUGGUAUGCGGAGAGGAAGGGACGGCUAACUCUGUGCCAGCAGCCGCGGUAAGACAGAGGUCCCGAGCGUUGUUCGGAUUCAUUGGGCGUAAAGGGUGUGUAGGAGGCCAGGUAAGUCAGGUGUGAAAUCUCAGAGCUUAACUCUGAAACUGCGCUUGAUACUGCUUGGCUAGAGGAUCGGAGGGGGUAACGGAAUUUAUGGUGUAGCAGUGAAAUGCGUAGAUAUCAUAAGGAACACCGGUGGCGAAGGCGGUUACCUGGAAGAUUCCUGACUCUGAAACACGAAAGCCAGGGGAGCAAACG